rnacentral:rRNA from 1 species
AUGCAGUCGAGCGGAUGAAGAGAGCUUGCUCUCUGAUUUAGCGGCGGACGGGUGAGUAAUGCCUAGGAAUCUGCCUGGUAGUGGGGGAUAACGUUCCGAAAGGAACGCUAAUACCGCAUACGUCCUACGGGAGAAAGCAGGGGACCUUCGGGCCUUGCGCUAUCAGAUGAGCCUAGGUCGGAUUAGCUAGUUGGUGAGGUAAUGGCUCACCAAGGCGACGAUCCGUAACUGGUCUGAGAGGAUGAUCAGUCACACUGGAACUGAGACACGGUCCAGACUCCUACGGGAGGCAGCAGUGGGGAAUAUUGGACAAUGGGCGAAAGCCUGAUCCAGCCAUGCCGCGUGUGUGAAGAAGGUCUUCGGAUUGUAAAGCACUUUAAGUUGGGAGGAAGGGCAUUAACCUAAUACGUUAGUGUUUUGACGUUACCAACAGAAUAAGCACCGGCUAACUUCGUGCCAGCAGCCGCGGUAAUACGAAGGGUGCAAGCGUUAAUCGGAAUUACUGGGCGUAAAGCGCGCGUAGGUGGUUCGUUAAGUUGGAUGUGAAAGCCCCGGGCUCAACCUGGGAACUGCAUCCAAAACUGGCGAGCUAGAGUACGGUAGAGGGUAGUGGAAUUUCCUGUGUAGCGGUGAAAUGCGUAGAUAUAGGAAGGAACACCAGUGGCGAAGGCGACUACCUGGACUGAUACUGACACUGAGGUGCGAAAGCGUGGGGAGCAAACAGGAUUAGAUACCCUGGUAGUCCACGCCGUAAACGAUGUCAACUAG